CGCGGAAACUCGUCAAUGCCAUCGGGUUGACGCACACCCGUGUGUAAAGUAACCGGGUGACUUAACGUGGCCUGCCUUCCCGAUAUUACACGCCGUCGCGUCGGUCUUAAAGGAACCGAAGGAAAGGGAAAGUCCGCCCGGAGACCGGCCGCGAACUUUAACGCUCUCAGUCCACAUAAAGCGAGCGCGCGUCUGCUCGCGUCGCGCGCGGACAGCCGAGUCAGCUGUGUUGAUUUAUUUUUUUUUUUUUUGCGAAAUAAAAAAGAAACCAAGUGCGUGUGGGUGCAUAUGCCAAGGAAUUAUCGUCCAUGUCCAGCUCGUGUUUGACGCGUCGAAGAUGCGUCGCGACGCGAGAGGAUAAAGCGCUUCAUCUCAACAGACACCCCUGACGCGAUGCAACCUUUUGUAAGGGUCGUGAAGUCGUCGUGAUAGCGGAAGCCCGCGCACACGCAGAACAAUCUACCGAUCAUGGUCGGGAAGUGUUUUAUCUUCUUAAAACCGGAUAUCUCGGAACACUCACGAGUGCCUUGCUUCCACUCGUACUCUCGUUCGAUCUCUUGACCGGCGGAGGAUCAUAAUGCUAGAGCCGGUUUUGGGAACGUUGUCGAUCUGGUGGUUGGUGGUGUACGCCAAUAUUCUGCUGCUACUGUCGCCCUUGGUGCUGCUGCUGAUUGUCUUCCUUCCGAAUUUCCCGAUUUUGCUGCUGCGGAGAAUCUGUUACAUACCUAUCGAGUCGAUCUGACCGACCACCACGUCGUACCAGCAUAGUUCUGUCAUAUUUAUGAUAAAACAUACCUUUUAUAUUAUCGCAUAUACAUAGUAAUACUGUCGAGAAUAAUCAAACUAGUAUUAGAGCAAACUCGAGCGGGUCUAGACUUAAGUUAGCUCACUUGUAUAAGUAUUACACGAAGAAUGUAUGCGCUGAUUAUUAUGAUGAAAAAUCGUUGUAACAUCUGCUAAGUUCCUUCGCUUAUUAUAUUGCGGUUUCGACGUCAUAAUAAUAUAUGUAGAAACGCAUUGUUAUUAUAGCGCGUUCAUUAAACUGCGACUAAUAUGUGCGAAGCGCGUCAUUGUUACACGCUCUGGACCAGUGAACCUGUUUACUUCCACGUGUAUGUAUGCUAAUGUUCAAAUGUACCGAUUUACCGAACUAUAAUACGAUGUCGCUGAAUUCGAAUGAAA